CCUACGGGAGGCAGCAGUGGGGAAUAUUGCACAAUGGGGGAAACCCUGAUGCAGCGACGCCGCGUGAGUGAAGAAGUAUUUCGGUAUGUAAAGCUCUAUCAGCAGGGAAGAAGAAAGACGGUACCUGACUAAGAAGCCCCGGCUAACUACGUGCCAGCAGCCGCGGUACUACGUAGGGGGCAAGCGUUAUCCGGAUUUACUGGGUGUAAAGGGAGCGUAGACGGCUGUGCAAGGCUGAAGUGAAAGCCCAGGGCUCAACCCUGGGACUGCUUUGGAAACUGUGGAGCUAGAGUGCUGGAGAGGUAAGUGGAAUUCCUAGUGUAGCGGUGAAAUGCGUAGAUAUUAGGAGGAACACCAGUGGCGAAGGCGGCUUACUGGACAGUAACUGACGUUGAGGCUCGAAAGCGUGGGGAGCAAACAGGAUUAGAUACCCCGGUAGUC
rnacentral:rRNA from 1 species